rnacentral:rRNA from 1 species
ACGAACGCUGGCGGCAUGCCUAACACAUGCAAGUCGAACGAGACCUUCGGGUCUAGUGGCGCACGGGUUCGUAACGCGUGGGAAUCUGCCCUUCGGUUGGGAAUAACUGAGAGAAAUUUCAGCUAAUACCUUAUAAUGUCUUCGGACCAAAGAUUUAUCGCCGAGGGAUGAGCCCGCGUAGGAUUAGGUAGUUGGUGGGGUAAUGGCCUACCAAGCCGACGAUCCUUAGCUGGUCUGAGAGGAUGAUCAGCCACACUGGGACUGAGACACGGCCCAGACUCCUACGGGAGGCAGCAGUGGGGAAUAUUGGACAAGGGGCGAAAGCCUGAUCCAGCAAUGCCGCGUGAGUGAUGAAGGCCUUAGGGUUGUAAAGCUCUUUUACCCGGGAUGAUAAUGACAGUACCGGGAGAAUAAGCGCCGGCUAACUCCGUG